AUUCCUGGAAAUUCAGCUUUUUUGUUUGUUUUUUAAAAUUUAUUUGGCUGUCCUAGAUCUUAGUUUUGGCAUUCGAACUCUCAGUUGCAACAUAUGGGAUCUAAUUCCCUGACCAGAGAUCGAACCCAGGCUCUCUUCACUGGGAGCUUGGAGUCUUGGCCACUGGACCACCAGGGCAGUCGCUGGAAAGUCAGUGUUUAGAUCAGUAGAGGAGUUUCAGGGAUGACAAGUUAGAACUAGAAGAGGCGAGGCCCCCCAGAGAUGAGGAGUCAGAGGUGUCCCUCCUGGGUCUUCUGGGUAACCUGGGCCCUCCCCAAUUCCUGCACGCUUGAAAUGCCAUCCAUCAAACUCUAACCAGUAGAGCUUAGCUUGGGGGUGUACAUGACCAUCAUCAGCAUACUAAGAAGACACAAGUGCCCUGGCUCCGAGGUGGAGGGUGGGAGAUUCCAGCACAGGUGGGUCACACUUCUGAGUCUCAAGGAGACUUUCUAACUGAAAGACCAUUUUCUGACUAGUGGGUUCUCUCAGCAUCAUUUUGUAAAAAGUCGUCAAUGACAUCCUAUUGAACAGCACUGGGCCUGACCCUGCCCUCCCCUCACACUGAGGCUCUGUCUUGUUGGAUUGGGUCAGGGAAGUGGUACAGCCCCCGGGAAGGGCAGGCACACAGCCAGUGGGCAGGGGGUGGUGAAUCUGGAUGAAGGGAACUGGGCAUGAAGGUCAGGACAGCUGGGAGGGGUUUCCGCUGGGCCGGACAGCUGCGUCUCUGCCAACCCGGACGAAGCAGGUGCCAGACCCAAUUCCAGCUCUCUCUGUGGCUCCAGAGAGGGGUGGGGGGUGGAGCUGUUGGGUUUCUCUGUGCCAGCCCGGGGCAGAGAUCAAUGCAUUGAGCCGGUCCCUGGGAUUCAGAGAGCAAGGGAGGGUGAGCUCUGAUUCAGCCCCAGUGAAGGGCCAGGCCUCGGCAGAAAGGCUAAGCUGGAUCUCCUGGGAGGAACCCCACUACACACACACACACACACACACACACACACACACACACACACACCAUUUCAGUUUAUCAACUUGGAAGGACUCCCUCCCGCAAGGAUCUGGGCCAGGCCCUACCUGUUCCUGGGAAAGGUGAGGCCCCACCAGUGCCGCCCACCCAUCCCCCUGGGCUCCAGACCCCACCCUCUUCUCUCUAUCCCUUUGUCCUUAGAAGAGCUGGCCCCUGCACUAACCCGGCUGACACUGUCACCUAGCUGUCUGCCUCAGUGUCUCUGACCAUCAGGGUGGGUCCUGGUUCCGCUGUGUGUCUCCUUGCAGCUUUUAUUAUUAUUUUUUUUGACUGUACCUCUCUUAGUUGCAGCAAGCCAGAUCUUAGUUGCCUGACCAGAGAUGGAAUCCAGCCCCUCUGCCUUGGGAGCAUGGAGUCUUAACCACUGGACCAUCAGGGAAGCCCCCUCCGAGGAACUUUGAGAUGGGAAAAAUUACAGUAGGAAGUUGGACAGAAGCUGGUAAGAGAAACCUUCCGGGGAGGUGAACCAAGAGACCUGAGACCACUUGAGAAGGUGAAUUAGAGGAAGAAGGUGCCAGGGCAGCUCCAGGUCAGACGGCGGGUGGGAUGCCUGCGGGGGACCAGCCUCAAGCGUGGCUCUGGGUGGGGGUGCUCAGCAGGGGUGCAGCUGCUCUAUGCCCAGCCCCGCCACNNNNNNNNNNNNNNNNNNNNNNNNNNNNNNNNNNNNNNNNNNNNNNNNNNNNNNNNNNNNNNNNNNNNNNNNNNNNNNNNNNNNNNNNNNNNNNNNNNNGCCCAGCCCCGCCACCCUAGCUCACCUUGACCUGGGGGGGGUGUGAUGGCCACAGCCCCCAUGUCCCUAAGGCCCAUCACCCUCCUCAGAGCACGCCAGGAACCUUCUUCAACGAAGGACAUGCAAAUGACAUCAGCUACCCCACGGGCCCCUACUUAGAGUCCUGUCCUCUUUUCUGGAGAGCUAGCCCACCCCAACACGGGAGGGGGAGGGGUGGGGCCUGGGCCGCGGCCUCCUCCUCUUCCAGGCGCUUCCUUUGCAGUCCUUGGCUCACCAUAGUGCUCCAGCCGCGAUGCUGCCAAGCGUACUCUGUGCCAGAGUCGGGGGUCAGGGGAGGCGGCUGGGGACCCUCUGGGCUGGUGGCUGCCUCUGGUUCUGGAGCCCUUUGCCUGCCCUUUGGAGAGCCUUCGACUACCCAGGAGAGGAGAGACUAGCUGUGCCGGGUGGUAGGAGACGUGGGGGAAGCUGCCGGAUCUGGUCCCCUCAGGGGCCCGAGAGCAGCACAAUAGCGCCUGGGGCGGCCGCUCUCCGGCUCAACUGGUUGCCUGGGUAACAGCUGGGGCCAGUUUCCACCAAUCCAAGGCAGAGGCUGGGUGGGGGGAGGGAAGCCAGCCGGGCAAGGGGGGCGGCCAUCCCCUUGGGCUGGAUCCUAUAUAAGGAGGAGGGAUGUGCACGGAGUGGUCUGGGCUCCGCUGUUCCUCCUGUGGG
ensembl:lncRNA